AAUAUGUUGUUUCAAUACUUAUUUUAAUUUUCUAUAUCAUGAAGAAAAAAAUUAAAAAAAAAUUUGUAUCGAAUUUUUAAUAUUAUUUGUAUUAGUCAAAAUGAAUGAGAUAUCCAUAAGUAUUCGUAAAUAUCCGCAAAUAUCUAUAUAUUUUCCGGAUAUCUGUUUUUCUGGAUAUCCGUAUUUUUUCAAAGCAAAGCAAAUAAAAAAAUUAGAUAUUUGUUACUUACGAAACAAAUCAUAAAUACUUUCAAAAACCCGGAUAUCGGAUCCGUGUCCAGUCCUACUUGUAAUAGCGAAUUUAGGAAUGCACAAAGAGCUGCAUUAGCUAAGAAAUCACAUCUAUAUUGAUUACCAAAAAAAAAAAAAAAACACAUCUAUAUUUUCCCAAAUGGGGUAUAAAUCGAGAACAUAUAGAAUCGAAUGAAUAAACAGAGUGAAUGAAUAUCGCGAAGCACUCUUGAAGCUUAAGGCAUCUGCCAUAGGUUGUCUUUUGACGUCAGUUGUUACGAUAAUUAUUUUUAUUAAUAAUUGUUGUUUUAUAGAUUACCCCUUUUUGGCCGGCUAUUAACUACUUACCCCUUUUAUAUUCAGUGCAUUGCAUUGUAUUCGUAUAAAAUUAAAAUUUUGGAUUGCAAAUAAAAGAGGCCACUAUACAAAUUCCUUUUGUACAAUUUAAUAUAUACUUUUAAACUGCACUUAAGAAAGUGUAUACUAGAUAAUUGAUGGGAGUAAUAAUCAUGGAUGAUCAUCAUCCAUUAAACACAAGAAAAGGACUGACGUGGCUUGUGGGAAUAGGAGUAGUUGAAGCAUUAUGACAAGUUGAAGGAUAUAGUUGGUCCUUAAUGGAAGGCAUCAUCAUUCUCGUGAUGACCAAACAGAAAAGGAAGUUAUAGCUUAUUCAAAUCUAAAAUUGACCAUAUAAACACAAAGAAGGAUAACUCUUUAUUCAUCUCGAAUCCUCUUACCUUUCAUAUUGAAAUUAUGAACGACAAAACCGAGAUCGAAGCUACCAUGGAGAGUACUGCAGCAGUGAGCACUGGCGGGCUAUCUCGUCAGACCAGCAUCACUAAGACCAAUUGCCUUUGUUCACCGACCACUCACCCGGGCUCAUUUAGGUGCAGGCUACACCGAACUCCUUCCCUGCAACGUACCAAGAGCGUUGAGGCAACAAACGUACUUCAAGAUUCUAUGGCUAAGCCGGGUGCUUCUAGCACCGGGGAUGAACCGGCUAAGUAGUCGCUGGGAUAGCCUAUAAUCUUCUUGGACCGGACACCAAAACAGGUUAAAUUAGACCGCCGGUGUUUGAAAUCGGAUCCCUACAAAUUUUCUCCAUUUGGAUGGCCAGCCGGAUAGUAACAUUUCUAUUUCUCAUUUCUUCUCUGUGUCUUGUAUUUAUUGGCUUUAUGUAUAGAAGGGUUUCUAUUACUUAAGAGUGUGUAAAACAUUUAAACUCACUAGAUGUUAGAAAAAAAAAACAUUUAAAAACUCACUAUCUUCGAAUGUCUGAUACAUAUAUUUAUUGAUAAUUCGUUCACUUA